GACAAUGCUGGGGUUUCCAGCAGGCACAGGGGAAGGUCUGUGUCUGUGGUCUGUCUUAUAUGCUGACCUUCUAUCCCACAGGCCAUUUCUACACAUCACAGGAGGAGGAAACCCCAUUAGGCUAACAUCCAUCCAAGGAGCAUCAUACUGUCAGACCACCUCGUUGUGCUAUUAACCUCCCGGCACACAACUGCCAAGCUAACAGACGGCUCUCACUCCUGAGGCGGCAAGACUUCACAUGCACUAAGACAAAGUCUCGUGUAGCACAGACUACUUUUGAUUUCACUCUGUAGCUGGGGAUGACCUUGAAUGCCUCAUCUUCUGGCCUCCACAGCAUCCUGUGUCCUGGUAGAACGUCUUGAAUGUGAUUGAGGUGCCUACAGCACUAUCCAACAACACUGGGUGAUGGCAGGGUCAGCUUCCUAGAGCCGAACAGUGACUGGAGAAGGUGUGGGCUCUAGUGGGUAAGUGGUAAAAGUCAGCGAGGGACAUAAAGGGCAGUGACACUGAGUUCCCGAGUAACAACAGCGUUGCCACACACCCUGCCUGAAGAUCUGGGAGAUCAAGGAGAAGAGGAUGUUUCCAGGUGAACAUGGGUCACACUGCAACAGAAUGACUGAUGGGUGCAUGGCAGCUGCUUGGCAGAUUGCAGAGUCCAAGCAUUGGGAACCAAAGGUUUGCUUAGGUCCAAGCUUCUCAACUUUGUGGGUUGUGACGCUUUGAACAAACCUCUAUCUCCAGAAAUAUUUACAUUACAAUUUAUAACAGUAGCAAAAUUAUAUUAAUGAAGUAGCAACAAAAAUAAUGUUAUGGCUAGGAGAUCACUACACCAUGAGGAAUUGUAUUAAAGGGUCACAGCAUUAGGAAGGUUGAGAACCAGCGGCUUAGGUAGUAUCUGGAGAAUCCUGGCAUCCUCAAGACCUUAUAGUAAGUCCAAUAGGUUGAAACUAUUUGCUAUUUUGCCAUUUCUGCACAUUUUCUCCAAAGCAGAGUUUCCUAGAAGCUUUAAUAUCCGUAUUCCAAUGCUCUUAAAAACGUUUAUAUUCAUCUCUAGCAUGGCCAACACUGACAGAACUUUCCCUCCCUCCAUCCCUCUUUUUAAAGACAGUACCUUGACAAGGCUCAUGCAAGACUCAAGCACACCAUUUAAGUGAAGAUGACGUGGAACUCCUGAUCCUCUUGUCCCCCGUCCUGUUGUGAUUAUGGAGCUCGGUGCAUUAUGCCUGCUGGGCAAGCAUUCUAACUGAGCCACAUCCUAUUCCCAAGUUUUUUCAACUUAAAGAAAACAAAAUACUGAGAAAUGGCCAUUUCUUCUGAGAACUAAUGGCUAGAGGGUCAGGGUGGUAAAGAAGAGAAAGCAACCUCAGAUUCUUGUGACCAAUUCUCCAAAUGAGUCUCAGUCUGGUUUUAAUAUUCUGUGGCUUUCUCUUUCUUCUCUUCUUUUAGCGUGUACAUGGACUGCGUGUUUGUCUGCAUAGGUACACAGAGGGUGUGGAGGCCGGCUGUCAUUCUUUAGGUGCCACUUAACUUGUUUUUUGAGACAGUCUUUUAUGGCCUUGUGCUUGCAGAAGAAGCACUUCACCAGUAGAACUACUCCAGACUUCUUCUGGGCCACUUUCCAAAUAGCUGGUCAUAUCUACACUCCUACUUGUAUCCCAGAAUUAUGAAAACACUGUUCCAUAUAUUUCCUUCAGAGACCAUUUGAGUGUUCACAAUGAGCACCGACUGAGAGUACUGGUCCCUUCUCCUCAAGCUCCUCAUGUCUUAGUAAGAAUGAAGACCCAGGUUAAGGUGUCUGGCAGACUCUGGGGGCUCUUUGCUGAUUUAGUUCAAGGAAUAUGCUGGGUGAAUGAGCAAAGAUGCUCUUCCCAGACUGCCUAGCAAAGUUGGUCCAUAUGCUACUCAAGGAACAGGCUCUAAAGGUUCCUUAAAACAAAACAAUAACAACAACAAAACCCACCCAGGGUUGUUUCAGGAACCAAUCAGGAAGUGACUCCUCCUCUCAUCAGACAUACCCCCUGUAUGAUUUAUUUAGGUCCUCCAGCCUUGCUAACAUCCAAACAAAUGAGUAUUUAAAAGAGUGCAGAUUAACCCCAGGCUUAGAUUUUUGUUUCUAGGAAUCUCUUCAUAAGACUAAGCAGAAAUGUAAGAAUAAUUUAUGCACAAGAAUCAUUAGGCAAUGUUUAAGGUAGGGGGAAACUAGAAGCAGUUAAGAUUCUACAGUGGAAUUACUUACUGAAGACCAAGCUAGUUUUGCAGUACAGUACAGUGGUAUAUUUGGAAUUUGAUGAAAUUAUUUUUUCAAUCAACAGCAAACACUGUUAAAUCAAGUGAGUGGCUUAUAUUUCCUGUAGUCCAACUGGAUUCAAACUGACUAUGUAGGCAAGGUUGACGCUGAGUUCCAACCAUUCUCUCCAUCUCUUGAGCUCUGGGGUUAUGGCAUGUGUCACCACACUUGGUUUGCAUGGUGCUAGGGACAUAAUACAGGCUUUGUGCAUGAUAGGCAAAAAGCCACUGGGAUAUAGGCCUGACACCAAGUUCUAUCCUUUCAACAGACAUCUGCUGGGGAGUGCAGCACAAUCCUGAACAAAGUCAGAUAUUUCUGGCCAGUAGCGGUUCUACAUAGCUGUAAUCCCAGCAUUGAGGAGGUAGAAGCAGGAAGAUAGUCACUCUUGGUUAAUAUAACUUAGUUUCAGAAAAGCUUGGGUUACGUGAGGACCUGUAGUGACAAAUAAAAAGCCUACUAAGCCCCAGCGCUUCCUAUUCAACAUAAUCCUAAGUAUUUGUUUGAAUUUUUAUUUACAUUCCUGUGUUGUAUUGGUUACUUUUCUAUUCCUGUAAUAAGACACCAUUACUAAUGCAACUUACAAAAGACAGUAACUAACUGGUCUACAGUUCUAGAGGGUUAGAGACCAUGGUGGAGUGAAGGCAUGGCAGCUGGAAGCUCACAGCUGAGAGCUCACCAUCAGAACUGCAAGCAGGAGACAGAGAGCACACUGGGAAUGGCCGAAAUCUUUUGAAAUCUCAAAGCCCAGUGGUACAUCCUCCACCUUCCUAAUCCUUUCCCAACAGUUCCAGUAACUGGGGACCAAGAAUUCAAACAUAUGACCCUCUGUGGGCUGUGCUUAUUCAAAGCACUGCAGGUAUGUUUGUUCACAUGUGUUUAGGUGCCCUAAGGCAGGAAAAUAUUGGAUUCCCUGGAGCUGGAGUUAUUGUGCUGUGAACCAUUUGAUAUGGGUGCUGGAAACAAAACCCAAGUCCUCUGGAAGAACACCAAGUGCUCUUAACUGUUGAGCCAUCUCUUCAGUCCCCUAGUUGUACUAAAAUAGGUAAUAAUCACAAAUGUUAAGCCAGCGAAGAUAAGACAUCAUGUCCGACAUUCUGUGAGCCCAGUGCAGAGCCAUGCAGUUACUUAAAACACUGAGAGUUGUUACUCACAACUCAUUCUCAAGGUGACCUCAUUCUCAAGUAGAUUAGGAUGUCAUAAUAUCAGAAGGUUGUACAGACCUGAAAAGCUCAUGCUAAUAUUCACUUUUUGGACAUGGCUGAUUUAAUUCUCUUUUCCUUAUGUUGUAUGAACAACCCCUCUUUUAUCCUCAGAGGAACAAGUCUAAGGAGACAGUGGGGAAGAUGUGGAACACCACCAACCAAUGUCUAAGGAGCGUGACGGUCCCUACACAGCUCCAAUGUAAACAGACACAGGGCAUCAAUAGUCAGCUGACAGAACUCAAAUGAGGCCAGGACGUGUGUGUGUGUGUGUGUGUGUGUGUGUAUGUAUAUGUGUGUGCAUGCAUGUGUGACUUGAAGACAGAUUGAGGCAUAGCUCAAAAUGCUUGUCUAGAAUCCCCCUAGUUAAGCACUACAGACAAGACUCAGCCAAAGAACUGCUUUGUAGUAUUGCCAGAGCCUUGGGUUCAAUCCUUAACGAUCUCAAAAACAAACAAACAAACAAACAAACAAACGUUUAUAUAACUUAAAGUCAGAUCUUCAACAUGUUCUGUCCAGAUAUGGUCUCAAUUUCAACUGCUUCCUUAUCUAAAAGCCUCACCCCAAUUUUACCCAUCAUUCUCGUGGGUCAUGCUUUAUAAAAGGAAGAGGUACAGGGAAGGUGUUCCUUUGUCUCAACUUAAUCACAAACACAUACUGUUUAUUAAUAUUUAGUAGCUUCACAGAGCUGCUCAGGAGUAAUUAAUAAUAAAAGAUGAGCAAAUCUACUUGCAGACACAAUGCUUACUGCACACGAUCAAAAGGAGGCUGGAUCCUACCCAGGUGCCUAGUGGCCCAUGUGUAAGCAGCAGGUCCAUAGAGAUGGCAUCUAAAUGAAGUCUGUUUGCACAUGGCUCCCCUCGUUCUCCUCCUAGUCUCAUUUCUUAUGGAAAACAACACAGAGCCAGCUACUAGCACAGGAAAUGCAGACUAUAAUUUCUUAAUUUCUAGAUGGAAUUCUUUAUGCUACAUGGAUGGCCUACAAAAUGUCUGAUGAGGCUUUGAGAGCAGCUUUUAAAACCACGUGAAGAGGCUCUGAAGUGUCCCAAGGAUGCCUGCGCAAAGCAGGGGAGGUGAAACAAAGUCUUCAGGGCAGAACGAUGCAUCCUGACCCUGGUCCUCACCUGAGUGAUCAGUGUCAGGCAAGGAGCUGACAUUUACCAUGGUAGGCAAGGGUGGAGAGAAAAAGCACAUUGUAGGACAUUCUAAUGUUCAAUCUCCAAAAGAUAUCUGAUCCACUGACCUCCCUAUGCACUGGUCUUAAGUGCUCAGAGUAGUUGCUUUUCGUUGUCCAUUGGGGAUUGGCUUCAACCCUUCACCUAGCUUAUAUAUCCGUGGACACUGAAGUUCCUUACACAGAACUGGCUUGUGUAUAUCCACACAGAUUAAUUCACUAAUCUGUUUAGUCAAGGUUCUGGGGAUGACACUCAGAACCUGUGCUAGACAAGUCCUCUCCAGCACGUCCCCAGCUUCCCUGAGAGUGGAGGCCACUGCUCUACCUGUAGCUGUACACCAGCCUCAGGCCUGAGUCAUCUCCAGAUGACUUGCAAUAUUUGCCACAGUAACAGUGCUAUGUAUCUAGCUGUUAUACUGUAUCGUUUAGGGAAUAAUCAUAGCAGAAAUCUUUGCACAUUCAAUACAGAUGAGACUUUUAGCCUCAAUAUUUUCAACCCAUGUCUGAUUACCUAUUUAUGGAGAAUUUGAAGGCAUGGGGGUGUCAACUACUUAAAGAGCCAUUUAAAAAACAUUAAGAAAAAUGUAACACUUAACAGAGAAAAUUACUUUAAAAUACUUUUGAACACAGGGUGUGGUGGUGCAUGCUAUAAACCCAGAAACUUGGGAGAGUGAAUUGGGAGAAUCAUCUAAGCAAGCCUGAGCUCCCUAGAGAAACUGGCUCAAAGGGUGUGGGGGUGUAGGACAAAUAAACAAACAAAAACAACAACAACAACAAAAAACAGUCAAAUACUUUAGGAAUUCCUCUUGCUAUCUCUUCUGUGCCUCUUAAGUAAGAGUAGGCUUCAGGCAGCCUUGAGAUUCACUCUUGAAUAUUCGGCCUGGCGUCUGUGCAGUCACUCAGUAGAAGGCUUCAGUCUGCUGUCCAGAGCCGCCUGACUGGCUGGAUGAGUCAUACAGAAGUUCAUAGAUCUCAAAAGCAGCUGCUCAGACUUUUCUGUUAUUACCAUAUACAGCUAAUAUAGAUCCAUUUAUCUCCAGCCAUUGUUGAAUGGAGUUUUAGCAACUCCAUACCUAUCAUCUCUCUUGAGAAUUUCUCCAUCUACAACUCUGGCAAAAAGACUAUACACCCAAUCAGCCACAGGACCUAAAACCAUCACCCUGGACUACAAAAUGUUUGCAUGGCUAAGUAUUUGAAUAAGGUCAAAGUACAGGCUAACUUUACAUUCCAACAACAUCAAAAGAGAACUGCACAGGACAAUAAGGAUUCCAAAACAAUUUCACCUGAGUAGUGCUUCCCCCACCCCCACCCCUGCAUUUUGUACUACAUACUCGGGAAUGGUCUGAAAAAAUUGUGGUAGGUUGGAAUUGAUUUUGACAUAGUCCCUGUAAGUGAUGAAAAUAUUGUAAAGUUCUGACAAGCUGGCAGAAUUAUCUGGGAAAGGGCUAAGCUGACAGAGUGCUUCCCUAGCAUGAUGAUGCCCUGUGUUCACUUCGUAGCAGUACAUAAACCUAACAUGCCGUGAACUCCUAGAAUCCCAGCACUGAGGAGGUAGAAGCUGGAGGACUAAGAAUUCAACAGUUCAAAGGAAGCCAGCCUAGGGUACUGGAGACCUUGUCUGAGCAAAAAAAAAAACAAUUUAAAUAACAAAACACUCCCUCCCAAACGAAUCAACCAACCCAGACAAAAAUUAUUAGCUAAGAAAAAUGUUCCAUUCAUGUAUUCAAUCAAUUUCUAUGGAGUCAAACUUACAGACAAGCAAAGAAAUAUAUACCUCCAGGUCUGUCUCCACUUUCCAGCAGAUGGGAGAACAGACACCACCCACACUUGGGGUGACUAGCAGCUGACUCUUCAUGACCCCAAUGUGCCUCUUGGAAGUUCAACCAUAGAAGGCUUCUCCCAUAUAGAAAAUAGAAAAUUCUUAGAUACAACCUUUAAAAGAUAAAAAAAACUACAAAAGGCAGCUAUAAACAGCCAUGAUACAGAAGUCCACGCCCUGGGUAUCUAGACAUUUACUCUGAGGUGCAGCUAUCUAAGUCCACCUAGGGCUCUCUGAGACGCAAGUAAAAAUGAACUAAGGCUUGGUUUGCAUGGUGCUGCAUACCUAUCAUCCCAGCACUCAGUAGGCUGAGGCAGGAGGAUAAGUUUGAAGGCAGUGAGAGCUACAGUGCUGAAAGACAGAGUCAUCUGGUUAUGACACGCAUUUCCAUCUUGUCAUCAGAGCAGCUAAGAUGCAUACAUGAGACUCCCAAGACUAGGCACAUUGUGGUGGAUUAUAGCUCAGUUGGUAGAGUACUUGCCUAGUAUGCAGGAGGCUCUAGGUUUCAUCUCCAGAACUGCAUAAACCAGGAUGUUGGCUUACAGGACUGUAAUCCCAACACUCCAGCGGUGGAAGGAGGGAUACAAGGUCAGGGUCAUCUUUGGACUUAACCAGUUUCUGGCCACCUUGGGCUACAUAAAAGAAACCCCAGAUCAAAACAAGAUGAGCUCACCCUCAAAGAAGGAGUGGAAGGAGCAUCACCAGUACCCUCCCCUGAGACUCCAGUCACUCUUUCUUUGCUGUGGCCCAGCCCCAGCUCGAUGGGUUCCAUCCCAGUUUCCAGUCAUGACACUUUUCCAGACAGAAAUUUCCAGGGGAUGAAGGGACAUGCUAGCCUGUGGCCAGAAAGGGCACAUUCAGGAGCUGGAGGAGUAGGUCAGUCAGUGGAGUGUUUGCCCUCAACAUCAUCCUCAGUGCUGCAUAAACUGGGCAGAGUGGGACACACCUGCAGCCUCAGCAAGCAGGAGGAGAGGUGGAAAGAUCAGAAGUCCAAGAUUAUCUGAGUUACACAAUGACUUUGAGGCUCACUUGGAAUAUGUGAGACCCUGUCACUAAAAGAGGGGCAGAGCAGUGAGCUGGCUCAGUGGAUAAAAGGGCUUGCUGCUAAGUCUAACCUCCUGAGCGCAAUCCCUGAACCUCAUGUGUCAGAAAGAGACAGCUGAUCCUGCAAGCUGCCCUCUGCACACUUUUUAAAAAAGUGGGUGCUAGAAGUCAAACUCAAGCCUCAUGCUUGCACAGUAAGCACGCUUACCCACAGGGCUACCUCUUCAGGCUCAGACAAGUUAGUUUGUAGAGUCAUACACAUGAAGAAUCACUAGCUGGUAGGCAAAGCUCUCCACCAGGUAGCCCUGAUGUGAAGAAGCAGGAAAGACUGCCUGGAGGGGAAAGACGCUGUGUAGCACUUGGGGUUAAAGAAGAGGCCUGGUGGGGCAGAGAGAGUAAAGUGCUUGCCUCACAAGAGUGAGAACCUGAAUUCAAUCCCCAGAACUCAUAAGAAAAAAACAAGUUUUGUGGACAGCUAAUCUGAAACUACCAGGCCAACGAGGAACUAUGUCUUAAACGAAUGAUGGGAAGAAGUGGCACCUAAGAUUGACCUCUGACCCCUACAUAUUCAUAUACAUGUGCACAACUACCUGCAUGCAUCGCAUCACACACACACACACACACACACACACACACACAAUGAAGCCAUACUUGGAAGUCAGAACAACAGUGGUUCUGAGAGGAUCAGAGGGCGAUUGUGAGACAAAGGUGAACACAAAUGCGCUGUGACAGGCUAUAAGUUCACGAACUCACAAGGCUUCUGCUCAGAAACCCCUCGAAGCAGGAGAGGAAAAGAUUUGGGGCAGGGUGAGCAGAUCUGCAGAACUGUACUCGUAACUAACAGGAGAUGGUCCACCCUGGGUCGGUAAGCUCCGUUGAGCCAGCUAAACCCAGCUGGCUUCUGGUAUUUUUAUGGUCCAUGAGCUAAGAAUGGUUUUUACACUUUUAAAUGGUUACAUUUAAAAUGGUUAUGUAAGUGCCUACAUAAUAUCCUGAUUUUGCCUUUUACCCAGCCAGGUCUAAAAUAUUUAAUGCCAUACCCUUUCAAGAGAAAGUUUGUGGUCAAGCUUGGUGGUAGUGGGCCUGUCGUGCCAGCUGCUUGGGAGGCUAAGACAGAAAGAGCAGAAGUUCAAGGCCAGCCUGGGCAGCUUGAUGAGACCCUGUCUUCAAAAAAAGAAAAAAAAUAUAUAAUAAGACUGAAGAAGAUGGCAUAGCUUUGAGCACUUGCCCAGACUCCCCAGUGAGUAGCAGCUCAGCAGUAGAGUGUCUGUGGGAUAGGGGGAAUGUUUCAAUCCAACCACACACAGAAGUUGUGGACCUCUGGACUACCCCCUUGUCCAUUUCUGUUUUUGCUUGUCCCACUUUCUCCCACAAGGUAAACUUGUGAGAAGGAUUUAACUUAGCCAUGGAAUUAGCCAAGCUUUGGGAUCCAGAUGCGCAUAUGUCCUGUGAAUGUCCAACACCCACCAUAAUCUUCUUGUGUAAAUCCAGCCAGCCUAACUCUCAACCUCAGUGAGACCCAACCCCCCAAGACUUCCCAGAAACAACGGUGAAUGAGAGGCUGCUGUGAACAUCAUAGGAGACCUGGCACAUGAAUAGGUCUGUGUGAGAUCAAAAUGCUUCUGGAAUAAAAAUUUACUCGUGGUCAUUUAUGAGCUGGUUUAUCACCAACAUCUACGCUCUGUUCUCAUAAAUGCUGCAGUGUCUAAGACAUAUAGCAUGUGGGGUGGCAGGGCAGGAAUCUGCUGAACUGCCAAAGAUGCGACCUGGGCAUUCUGCUCAGUCCCUCGUAACCCAGUCUCAUCAACAGGUCGGGGGCACCUCUGUUAGGCCAGUUGCACUUCACUAAGCCCAUGUGCAUGGUGGAGGAAGAUGUCAAACUCAUGCUGAAAAUGAGCCCAUGGAAAACCACACUCCAAUCUGCAUUCUACUGUGGAAAAAGCAUCCCAACCACAUCCAGAUAUGGAUGAAGAGGGGUUUGGGGGGGGGGGGGGAGUAAGCUAUAUUUUGUGGGAAACCUAGAAUGUUCGACAUCUUGUAUCACAUGGAAACUGAAACUCAAAAAGUAUUUCAAGAAAUAGGCAUGCUGAAUCUUACACUUACUCCUAAAGAAGGGCUACAAGUCAACCUUCAUGAAAGCAUCACCUUGGUGCCCUUGCAGCCUCAGGGCCCUGGUCACACACACCAGUGAGAUCCACACUCAUUCUAUAUUGAAGUGCCAGGCUGCCACCAGAAGUCUACCUAUCCAGGGAGAAUACAGGCUCUGACUCCAGUGUAAAAGCUCCUUUUAUCUAUCUGUGAGCUCAGGCUAGGUUGGGAUACCCUGAUUCCAAGUAGCUUUAUCUAUCUGUGAGCUCAGGUUAGGUUGGGAUACCCUGAUUCCAAGUAGCUUUAUCUAUCUGUGAGCUCAGGCUAGGUUGGGAUACCCUGAUUCCAAGUAGCUUUCCUGCCUUCUUGGAAGCCAGCUCCACAAGGUGAUGUCUAUAAGGUUUUUUUGAGACAGGGUCUUACUGGCCUGGAGCUUUUAGAUUGAGCUGUGUUGGUUGGCCAGUGAGCCACAGCAAUCUACCUCUGUUUCCAACUCUUCCUCCUCCUCCCCUUCCUCCUCUUCCUCCUCUGUGCUAGGAUUACAAGCAUGUCAUUAUCCAAUGACACAACUAGAGCAAGAAUUGUGGGUCUCAAGUUUCACUAACAUUUCAGUGCAAGUGGCUAACAAGCAGGGAAACACUAUGGAGCAGGUGAGUCUUGCUGCUUUGAGUCAGCCUGCAGUGACUAUCAGGAAUGUACUCACGAGUAUCUAUUGUGUGCUUUGUAUGCAUACAGCCAAGAAGUUAUAUAACUCCCCCCCUCCCUUUCUUUCUGAAACAGGGUCUUGUUAUAUACGCAGGCUGGCAUCAAAUGUACAAUCCUCCUCCUAUAGCCUCUGAGUGCUGGGAUUCCAGGAGUGGUAUCACACCUGGAUGGCCCUGGCCUCUUGAAGGUGAAGUUCUGCAGGGAGGACAAACAUGCACAUCAAACUGACUGCACAGCAAGACAGCUGCAGGAGCCCAUGAAAGGUGGGUACAAAAGCCUGGGCUGUCAAGUGACCAUUUGCAUGAAGCCACCUUCUCACCCAGGCAGAAGAAUUUCCUUUUGGAAUUCCAAAGCAUCUAGCAUAGUCAUUUAUCACCCGAAACAACUGCUUUACAGGACAGAGAGCCCUAGCACUGAGGCCAGGCCACCCUACAAUUGCUAUUCCUUAGUGCAGCCUAGAGCUUACAGGACUCACUUGAUUGAAGUGUUUAUUCAGUGAUCUAAAGGGUAGAGAGCGAUCAUUUCCACACCCACCCUUGCCCCUCACUCACUUACAACUAAAUAAACAAGAGUGACUCAGUUAAAAGGCAAAUAACACAAACAUUAAACAUGACUGUAUUCAAGCUGGAGAGGAAGGCCAGAUAGCCUGGGGCUUCACUAAAGCUUGAAUGAAGGCCAAGCUGAAGGUCACUGCUAGAUCCUGUGGUGACACAGAUCUCACUGUGGGUGGGUAUCUUAAUAAUUUUCAGGAGACUUGAAGCUACCAGGUGGUGGCGGUUAAAGGACAGUGGGUCCAAGCACGAGGAAACUGUUCCUAGUCAAGUGUAACACAUACCUAUGAUCCUAGCACCCAGGAGGCUGCUAGUUCAAUGCUAGCCUGGCUACAGAGUGAUGAAGUGCUGGGGUAAUGGCUCAGCUGGGGAGAACUUGCCUAGCAUGCACAAGACCCUGGGUUCUAUCAACAGCCCAGCAGAUAGAAUAAAUUAAAGAAGAAAGAAGGCGCUCUCCGUCAAAGGCAUAGACUAUAGGGAAACACUUGGAAGUGCUUUUGCUGACAAGUUGCCCGGGAGAGCCACUGCCGACAGAGGCCGGUUUCUAUUUUAGGCUAACAUCGGGAAAUAAGCUGAAGACACAUGCGCCUCAAUUCAGGGCAGCUGCUUUCUCAAACAGCUCAAAAUAGGAACUCUCUACAACACACAUGCAUUGGCACGCACACGAGUGUGUCCACCGCUCACAGACCAGCAGGACCAGAGCUGGCACAAAGGAUUUCAUUUUCUUAUAGAGCCUGACAAUUCCAAAACCCAUGCACUUUAAAAUCAGAUCAAUUCCACACAGUUGUUAGUAAUCCUGAACCAGGCUGCCUGCCACUCUUCCUGGUGCUGUACAUGUCGCCUGGGGGAAGUUUAAUCUUGGAGGCAAUUGGACCACAAGUGGCCCUGCCGCCAAUGAACAGGUCAUACUCUGUCAAUUUGUCACCAGCUUCAGCACAGCAGAAAACCUGUUCCCACAGCCUGUUGGUAGGGUGCUCUGUCUGCUGCAGCAGCGGCAAUCCAGAUGUGGCUGAAGUAAGUCCAAAGAGGCAUAGUGCCAGGGAAUUGAGAUUUCAGGCAAUCCCACAGUACUUUGAAUCUGUGAAGUUUAAAGGACCAGGCUUCUGCCUAGCAGGAGGCUGGAGCCAAAACGGAGGUCCUGCUACAGGAGACGGUGUAAUCUGGGUAAUGAGCAGCCUCUCUGGUGGCUGCCUUUUCUGGUCCCUCACCAUCAGAGUGCCUGGCCUUGUGCUGGAGUAAGGCCAGCAGAUGUUCAGUGCAGGGACUCUGGGUGAGGCCGGAUUUCAUGGCCGGUGGAGCCUUACAGACCUUUUCCGGGCAUCCCCCAGUGGUGAAGCCUGAGGCCCCAGAGGAAACACACUUCAAAGUCCAGCCGUGAACCUAGGAGGUCAGCAUCCUCUCUUUCUCUCUCAUGCCCUUGACAUAAAAAGUUGGCCCUGAUGAAGAGGGAAGAAGAAAGCCAGACCCUGGUAGUCAGCAGGAGGAAAUGGCUUCCUGACUACUCUCUGGUAUGAAUUGGGGCAUGGGAGGCUGGGGUCUGGCCUGGUUCCAAAGAACCUAUCUUUUGUGCCAGUGCUGGACUCAACUUCAGGAGGCCCAAAGCCUCCCUUUUCUUCCUUCCAGAAGCUCUGUGAAGCCCAGGGGUGGAAAUGGGAGAUGAGGGUGACAGGUGCUUUUCAAGAAGUCCUGGCAAAGCCAUGGCUACGAGUGUGUCCUGUGCUGGGGAAGAUACCCUCAACUUUGCAUGAUCUCCCUCGGUCCCGUGUUUUGGGACAUAUACCACGAGUGCUUUUUAACAGGCAGUUCACAAGAAUUAUGUAAAGAUUGUUUUUUUUUUUUUUUCGGGAGUCCAUGUGGCAAGAAUAAAGAAGCCAGAAUGAAAUGGAACGUAAAAAAGUGAGGAGUGGCCCAGCAACCUAGGUGAAUUGACCAGCCUUGGGGUGGGAGGAGCCACAAACCACCAACCCUAACAAUUCCCAUAACCAUCCACAGCCUGGCUUCAAGUUCUCAAAUGCCCUCUAAAGAUGAAACCAAGGCCUUAAGAAAAACAUUCUCAGAAGAGAGGGAUCAAGCAGGUUCCUAAAGGAAGCAACAGAGGGAGCCCAAGCCUUCAAUCCAGGUCACAUACAGGUGUCUGGCAGAGAAACUGGCUUGUCUUGGUUACUAGAAGAUGUGUAGAAGGCUGGCCAAGAAACAAGUGUGUGUGUAUGUGUGUGUUUGUGUUUGAGUGAGUGAGUGAGUGAUUGUGUGUGUGUGUGUGUGUGUGUGUGUGUGUGUGUGAGUGUGUGUGUGUGUGUGUGUGUGUGUGUGUGUGUGUGUGUAAGAGAGAGAGAGAGAGAAUACCAGAGGAGGAGAAGCUCAGGGCUACACACACAGCACUAUAAUGAAGGGGAAGUUGGAGAAGACAACAGCUUCCCUCAGGAAGGGUGACAGUGUUUUUACAUGAGGCAGUGACUCAAGGAUAGCUUGAGGGUGACUGACCCUGCACCGACAGACACAGUGAGGAAAUGGUGGCUAAGGCCGGGUGGAAGGAGUAUGGAGUGGAGUAAGGAGAACAACAGGCAGUGCAGGCCAGACUGCCGAGAAGCAAUGACAGUAGUGUGGGCCACAUAGCUAGGAACAGAGGAGUGGUCGCCAGUUUGCAAGGAGUGUUUAGAAGGAUACAUACAGCAAUUGCACUGCUUGCUUUAAGAGUUCUGUGACCUACUAUGGACUGAAAAGGCAAAUAUUCCCCCUUGGGGAGCUCAGAGCCACCCCAAUAUAGUCAGCCAUAUUCUCUCCACAGGCCACCUUCACUGUAUGCUUACAAUUGCAUUCUUGGGGCCCAUUACCAAAAACAAAAUUAAGAAACAAGAUUUUCUUUUAACAAAGGCAAAGCUGAGGCCAGAAAGGUGGCGCCUUUCCUAGGCCACUCAGCUAUCCACUCUAAAGCUGGUGGUGGCCAUGGCAUUCCUUGGAACACUCAAAAGUUCCCUGAAUCUUAAAAAAGUUGGGCUGGGAAUGAUGGGUCAGUCAGUGGUAAGUACUUUGUUGUGAAAGCAUGACGACCUGCUUGACCCACACGACCCAGGUAAAUAAGCUGGGUAUAGCAGCACAUGUUUAUAAUAUCAGCAUUAGGGAGGUGGACACAGGAGGAUGCCUGGGGCUCACUGGCUAGUCAGCCUAGCCUCAUCAGUGAGUUCCGGACCAGUGACUAACCAUGUCUCAAAAUCAAAGAGCACAUGAGAAAUGACAACUCAUUAUCUCUUGGGAUUUGGGCAUAAGGUUAUAAGGUUAAAGGUACACCAAGAGAUAAGCACCAAGUCGGAUGCUGCUCAACUCUCAUAUAAAAUGGCACAAUGUUUAUAUAUGGCCUCCAAGUGUCUCUAGAUGACCUAGUCCGUGCUGUCACACUGCUUUAUCCACAUGGAUUCAAUGGAAGGACUGCAUUCUGGGCAUUCAUAUCUUGCUUUCUGAAACCUUCAGGACUUUUUCUUCCCCAAAAUGUCUAGUCUGUAUGUGUGUAUAUGUAUGUGUGUAUAUGUAUGUAUGUAUGUAUAUAUAUAUAUAUGACUUUUUAAAAAUUAUCAUAAACCAAAAGUCUCUUGAAUCAAAACAAAUUUUAAAAAAAAGUCCCAAGUUAACCCCUAUUAACAGUUUGGUGUAUUUUCUUCCAGAAACAGCUAGAAGAACCUGGCUUCCUGGCUUAGAUCAUUAGUAUCUGGGUUCAGUUCUAUAUCAUUGAAGUCUAAGUCAAUGCCCCUUAUGAAACAUAUGGCCAAGAAAGAAACAUAUUCCUAUUCUGACAAACAUGCACUGAAUCCCCUUCUGGGCACUGGACACUCAAGCAGGAUGCUCAAAGACCCUGGAGAACUCAGCUAGCCUCAUUGAGCAGCCUCAGCGAGCCUUGGGCAGGCAUCUGCAGUGAGAGUACACACAAUGUGGACUCACUGGGUGUGCUGAGCUCCUUGAACUCUCACAUCAAAUGCCAGUUGUCAGUUUUAGGCUGGGGAGACGGUCCGAUGGGUAAAACACUUGCUGCACAAGCAUGAGAACCUAAGUAAAGCCCUGGUAAAAGGCGUGUGUGGAAGCACCUGUCUGCUACCCUAGCACAGGGAAGGGAUGGGACAGGCAGAUCCCUGGGGCUCCUGCACAGCCAGUCUAUCUGAAUCAGAGAGCCCCAGUUUCCGUAAGACUCUGUCUCAGCAAAUAAGGGGGAGAGCUAGCAAGAUGGCUCACUAGGUAAUGGUACUUGCUGCCAAUCCUGAUAACCUGUGUUUAAUCCUAAGAAACCACAUGAUCUAGGGAGAGAACCAAUUCCCUCAAACUGUCCUUUUAACCUCCACAUGCUUGCCAUGGCACACGUGCCCCCUCCCUCAAAGUUAAGUAAACAUAAUAGAGAAAAAUGAAGUAGAAAGUGAUAGAGGAAGAUACCUGGUCAAGGCUGUGCUUUGAGACAUUUUUUGCCAUCUUUGUGGCAGAAGAGCAUCCUCUGUGACAAAUGGAGUGGAUGUGUAACUCAGCACCUCCCUCAUUUCCACCUGAGCUUCAAGCAGGCUCUGGCUAGGUGCACUGACAUCCAGGCCUCAUCCCUGGCCUGCCCUCUAUGACCAUAGCCACACUUACCUGCUACACAUACCACAAAUCUCAAAUGUCAAGUCACUUGGUCCACACGGCAGAGUCCAGAUGAGCCAAGUAAUAUUUUGAAAAUAAUCAAAGAAAAGACCCCCUCCCCCAAUAUACUGGUUUAAAAGUGAAAUUGAUGUUCUAUGAAGCUCUGAAUUCUAGCAAAACUUGGUCAACCAGAGUCCUGCUGAAAUUCUUUGAGGCCACAGUGCCUACUCUGAGCUUGGCUUUCCUAGGCACAACAUUCUAGACUAUGGUAUUCUAGAACACUUCAACAAUGCAAGUGGGUAGGAGGAACCCAUAAAUGUCUUUUUCUUCAUUGCUAUUAUUUUAUUUAAUUUGUAUGAGUGUGUAUGUGUGCAUGUGUGCAGGCAUAACAUGCCAUAGUAUCCACAUAGAGGUGGGAAGACAGCCUCAGGUCAGCCCUCGCUUUCUACCUCCUUUAAGACAGGGCUUCUGCUUGUUCACCACGGCAUAGCCAGGCUAGGUGGCCCUCCCUGGGGCUUCCAGGGAUUCUCCUGUCCCUGCCUCUCAUCUCCCUGGAGAAGGGUUGGGAUUAAACACCUGCAAUGCUGCAUCCAGCUUUGUGUCGGGGCUGGUGAUUUGAAAUAGGGUCCUUUUGCUUGCCUGGCAAGCAUUUCAACCACUGCUGUAUCUCCCAAUUCCUGAAAUGCUUCUUUUUCUUUUCUUUUCUUUUCUUUUCUUUUCUUUUCUUUUCUUUUCUUCUCUUCUCUUCUCUUUCUCUCUCCCCCCCCCUCUCUCUCUCUCUCUCUUCUUUCUGUAUAGUGUCAUGAUAAUGUAAAACUAAACAUACCACAACUCGAGUGUUACACAGAGGAAUAUUUUCCCCUUCUGUUCCAGGCAUAGAGCAAGGACCAUGCACGGUAUAUGUGGUACUGGGGAUGGAACCUGGGGCUUUGUGACAUGAUAAGCAACAAGUCUACUAGCUAAGCUAUAACCUCAAUCUCUGAUUUUGUUUAUAAUUAUCUUUGAAACAUGACUCUGUCUGCACAGACUUCAAAUGACUCUUGUCCUUGGAUCACUGCCCCCCAUACUGUCCACUGAAGAAACUGAGUCACUAUUGCCAAAAAACUAUGUUCACAAAAUGACUACACUCUACUGAACAGUAAGCAAGCAUCCUCCUAUACAAGUUAGGUCAAAAGAGCCUUUCUCAGCCCACCUUCAGCAACCUCCACAAGCCCUUCAACGUAAGUGCCCCAUACUCCCUGCUAGACAAAGAUAUGUCUGUUACCACUGGUCUCUGCAUCCCAUGCAGGCAUGUCACUUGGUGAGGAGAGAAGCAGAGUUCUGGAUUACAGUGGCAGAGGCACAGAUGAGAUGAUGCAUGGGAGCCCAGACUUGGACUUGGUACUGAAUGGAGUCCAGUGAAGCAAUGGCACAUGUGGAGGGCGGUGCUCGGGCUCAGCGAACAUACAAGCCAUUUCAACAGCCUUAAUUACUAAUGGGAAAGGCCCCAGAAGGUGUCUGACCAAAAAGAGUCCAUAGUUAAGAACCAUUCUUCUUUUGUUAACUUGAUAGAUGCCAAGCUCCCUGGUUCAGCAGCAGCCCAUGAGGCCUGGGCUCAGAGCUCAUCCUCAGGUCCCUACUGAAGUCACUGAAGCACAGUUAGGGUAGGGCCUGGGUUGCUAAGGAUGGCUCCAGCAGGCCUGAACAAGGGCCCUUGCCCCUCACCUUCUUGGGAGGAGUCAGGGAAGAUUGAGUCCAGCAAAAUAGCUGCUUGCUCUUUUAGGUGAGUCAUGUGAUGAGUAGCUUUUAUUUUACCAACUGUACUAGAGCAGGACUUACUUUGCUAAUGCUCUUAUUUCGUCUCAAGAACAAACUCUUAGAUAAACCACCACCACCCCUCUCUCCCUCUUCCUCCCUUCCUCUCUAGUAUCUUAUGUAUUUAGCUAACGUCAGCCUCACUAUGGCAGAUGAUCUGGAGUUCCUGAUCCUCCUGCACGCUGGCUUUCCAGGCAUGCACUAAAGUUCACAUCUGCUUUGGUUUCUGCGGUGCUGGGGCUCAAACCCAGAGCUUGCUCCUAGGCUUAGCACAUGCUCUACCAAAUGAGCCAUAUGCCCAGCCUGUGCAGUUUCAGUUAUUCCUUCCAAAUACUAUCUAGGCCAGCUCUGAGCUCAAAAUUGUUUGGUAGAAACUGCAUCAUUUGACUGUCAUAAGAAGGAGGUUUCUGUUAUCCACAUUUAUAGGCCCAGAAACUGAGGCUAGGGCGUCCAGGGAACUAUGCAAAGGUUGCUUCCCUAGUCACUUGGCUCCAGAGUUCACAACCUGUCCACUGCAGUUCACCUACAAAGUGUAUCAUUGUGUUGCUGUGUUUUUCUGCCUGUUCUGAAAGGGUGUCGAGUCUCAUGGUGGGUGAAAUCAUACUAACUACUAACUACCAUGACCUUGAACAGAAUGUGGCUCCUGACAGAGCCUACUGGCAGGUACAGGCUGUAUUUAGGCAAAGGCUGACAAACAUAACCCACCUCUACUUCUGUCUGACCUUAACCUUAAUCUUCAUAGGACCUCUAGGGUCUGGCUGCAUCUCCCUGGUCAGGACCCUUUCCUGGAGGACCUGUGUGUCUCCCCAUCUUACAAAAGCAGGUCAGUUCAGAACUGAAGGUGAAUGUAUCUGAAAGCCACGGCUAUAGACUGUAUACACAUAGCAAUUUGUUACUGUGAAAAACCAUCUGUUUCGUGGUAUUACAAUCCUCAGAGGGCAAAUUAUAGCUAGCGUUCAACAUAAAACAUCAAUUUAAACCAUCAACUAUUCAUAAUUUCAAUUCUUUAUUGGAAACCAAGGACAUAAAUGUCAGGGAAUAAAGCAAUAUUUCUUUUAUUAACUGUUCCAUUCAUCUGGCUAUUAAAUAAAACCAGGGCCCCAAUAAAUGGCAGGAAUCCUUGCCUGACAGCCACGCCAAAUAGCUCUAUAAUUCUCAGAUGCUCUAAAACAACGAAAAUGGCGUUAUUUGAAAAGUUCGAAACUUUAAUAUAUAAUAAAAUUAAGAUGGAUGCGAUCUUGAAACAUUGGGAGGCGAUGUGCAGUGUCUUCAUAUUCAAAUAGAUUUCAUCUUGUGUGUUUUUAUUUUCUCUGGGGUUCAUUUUGUACCUAGAACACACUGCUUUUAUGAGCAGGCUUGGCAGGCACCAAGCCCUAGCUCCAGCAUUUUCAACUGACAUGUAGCUUUCCCAGGCUCAAACCACCUCCCCACUGCUCGCCCGGGCCUGUGUCAUCAGGGAAGUGCAUUUCUUAGAGUAGAAGGAUUUAAGGGCAUGGCCCUCUCAAGCCCUCUUAGGCUAUUAUAUAAAAACAGCAGGAUAAAAGGCUCCAAGCAGGUUCUUGAAGGCAGUGGCUUAGCUUGUGUGUUUGUGUGUGUGUCCAUAUUUGUGUGGUGGACAGAAGACAACAAGAAGCAUCUUUCUCAGCUACUGUCCACCUUAGUUUUGGAGACAAGGUCUCUCACUGAACUUGGAGCUCCAUGAUUCAGACAGAGUAUCUGGCAAGCAAACCUCAAGGACCCCUUUUGCCUGCCCCCCAGCACUGGGGUACAGGUACAGGCAGCAGCGUUCAGCUUUUCUUUUUCCUUUUAGUUGCCUUCUAGCUUUUUUUAAAAAAAAUUGUAACUUUAAAAUUUGGAGAUUAUAAUUACAUCAUUUCCCUCCUUCCCUUUUCCCCUUCCCACAUCUCCUCCCAUGUACCCCUCGGCCUCUUUUUAAUUAUUGUCACACACAAACUAGUAAAACGUGACCAGGCCGUACAAUGUUACUUGUGUGUGUAUGUUUCCAGGGCUGAUCAUUUGUUGCUUUUACAUGGGUGCUAGGGUCAGAAAUAUGUCCUCAUGCUUUGGUGGUAAGCACUUUGCCCAUUCAGCUGUCUUCCCAGCCCCUACUUUUUUUCUUUUAUAAUAAGUAACACGGGUGUAUGAAAAAGAAAUUCACAAACCUCUGAAGAGUAUUAACAGAGCUCUUUGUGUGCCAGAAACCAAACUGGGACUUUUAAACGCACUGUCACAUAAUAACCCUAUGAGCAGAUAUAGCUAACAGAUUCGGAAGCAGGUUGGAGAAAGUUGCCCACUCAUCUCAUCCAGGUACACCUACGUGUUAGCUGACAGGGAAGCCAAGAAGGCCACUAGUCAGUCCCUAAACAAUCAGUGGCUGUGGCUGGUGCAGAGCUGCUAACCAGCAGAAGCAGCGGGAUCGGGUGGCUAAAGAGUAGGAGGCACAGAGAAAAGGACUCGGUUCCUCAUUCUACCUGAGAGAGGAGACUGGCAAAUGGGGCACAGGGGAGCCUGCGAGGGGCAAUGCACCUGGCCUGAGUGUUUUGCUAUGUUCUGUUUAGAGACUGGGUUUACUCUGUAGUCAUGGCUGUCCUCCUGCAUCUAACUCCUGGGUGCUGGAAUUACAGACCUGGGCAACUGUGUAUUUGCUUGCUUUGAUUGGGAUGUUAAAUGUCCUUCAAGGCCGUGCUUUAAAGGCUUGGUAAGCAGCUCUUGCGGGGUGGUAGGAACUGUAAGAGAUGGAACAGCUCGGGUGGCUUUAGGUCAUGUGGUAUGGGAAAGAAAAUGCCCUUGAAGGGGCUGAUAGGAUGCUGAUUCUUGCUUUCUUUCUCAAUUCCUGGCCGUGAGGUGGCCAGUGUUUGUCCAUCACAGAUGCUCCAACCAUGUUUCAAUGUACUGCCACAGGCACAAAGCCUUCUCUGAAACCUUUGAACCUGAGAGCUAAAACAUACUUUUUCUCUUGGUAUGUUCAUUAUCCUGAGUAUCUGUUAUAGUGAUAGAGUGUUUACUACCAAAAACCAAAAUUCCCUUUUUCCCCCUUUAUUUUUUAGAGCUUAAUUUCUAAGACAGACAUGGCCACCCUGUGAACAAUUAUUUAAAGAACAUUUCUGGGCUGGGAGCGUGGAUCAAUGGUUGAGAGCUUGCCUCGAAUCCCCCAGUAAGGGGCUAGAGCAUAGCUCAGUGGUGGAGAGGUUGCCUAGAACUCCUUAGUGAGAUUAAGAUAAGCUAGGCAAAUGCAGGAAAUGGCAUUAGGGACAUGAAGUUCAGCAUGUGGUGGCAGCGGGGAGCCUGUAAUGAGAAUGUAUCAGGAGGUACAGGGGAGACUGUAAGAUCUGACUUACUACUGAAAGUUAAACUGGGCUAUGUGAUGAGGAUAUGGGGGCUGAACAUAGAACUAGUGUGGGGUAGCUUAUGACAAUAACAGCAGUACAGCAGGGAGACGAUACAUAAUGCUAGACAGGUUUCUGGGAAGAAACAGGUCACAUAGGACCUUUACCUUGAGUGGCUUGUGGGUGGUGAUUUCAUUUCCUGCAGGACCAGGCUAGUGGCAGGGAAUGUGGUAGAGAGAUCAUAUUUCUCUUUUUGAGUUCUGUGAAGUUUGAGUUGUCUCUUCAAGUCCAGAUGUUGAAUAGAGCAGGCAGUAGAAAACUAGGAUUAAUAUCAGUGCUCAUGUGGGUGGUGUUUAAAACUAUUUGGUGCUGAAUAUAAUGGCAAAAACCUGUAACCCCAGAAUUUGGGAAAAGGAGACAGGAAGAUUGAAGGCCAGCCACAACUACAUAACAAGUUGGAGGUAAUCAUGAGACCUUGGUUUGUUUGUUUGUUUUAAAGAUAAAUACAUAAAUAUAAAAUGGGUAGGAAAAGUUGGAUUGGAGACACUAAAGACAAGGACUCCUAGGUGCCAGAACAGUGAGGGUGGGGAAGGGGCAAGCACUGGCAUGAGACCUUCCAGGAUGGCAAAGAACAGCAAGGACCAGAAAGAAAAACAGGUCCUAGGGAGGAGGAGGAGUUGAUCAUGACAAGGAACUGCCUAGGACCUUGACUGCCAUGCUCACCCUGCCUACCCUAUGGAGGAUGAGGCUAAACAGGUCAGAUUUCAACUAGACAUCUAGUCAUUAGCCCUUAGCCCCUACAGGGAGAAGGUAGGUAGGUGUGUGUGUGUGUGUGUGUGUGUGUGUGUGUGUGUGUGUGUGUUCUGUCAAUCUAUAUAUACAUGAAUGCAGGUACCUGCAAAAGCCAGGAGUCAGAUCCUCUAAGCCAAGGUUACAGGCAGUUAUGAGCUGCCUGAUAUGGGUGCUAGGUGUGAUCUUAACCACUAAGCCAUCUCUCCAGCCACCUUUCCCUGACUUUUAAAUUUUCAGUGGGAUGGCAGCAGGAGUUUGGCAUUUAAGGUGAUGACAUAAUUGCACAUAUAGAGAAGCUCUAGAUUACUUUAUUCAAGGCUGGGGAAAUGGCUCAGUGAGUAACAUGAUUGCUGCGAAAGCAUGGAGAGUAGAGUUCAAUUCCCAGAACCCACACCAAGUGUAGUAGAGGCAUACUCCUACUCCUCCCAGAGCCAGCUUGUUGGACACAGGAGGAUCCCUGGGGUUCACUGGCCAGCCAGCCUAGCCUAACAGGCUAUUUAAAAGUCAAGGAAAGAAAGGACUGAUCCACUGUACAAACAAUGAAUUGCAGCUUGAAAGCCCAUGGGCUAUAAUAAUGUCUUAAAGUGUCAACUUUGGGGGGGGGGGGGUCAUUUCAAAAUCCUUUCUGAAUUUUCAAACAGUAGUCUGCAUAGGCAUGUUUUUGAGCAUAUUUCUUACCUUUUAAAAAUGUUUUAAAGAAUCUUUGAUUAAGAGAGGUUUUAUUUCUGUGGAGCUGGGAACUGGACUUAAGGUGCUAAAUGAUGGCUCUACUACAUAGGUGGUACAUUCUAGUUAGAAUAUUGCAAAGAAUACUGUGUUGGAGCUAAAAUGUUCUACACCUGUAAGCCCAGAGCUCCGGAGGUGGAGGCAGGUAGACCAGAACUUCAAGGAUAUCCUUGGCUACAUACUGAGUUUGAGGCUAGCAUGGAAUA